AGCUUUGCGCAGUGGCAGUAUCGUAGCCAAUGAGGUUUAUCCGAGGCGCGAUUAUUGCUAAUUAAAAAAUAAAUUCUAAGUACUAUUAAAUAGGCUGUAAAGAACUCAUGAAAGCAUUUCUGAAAGAGAAACAUUCCA